AAGAUCCCAGAAGGGCAGGUUGCUCUCCCAAGGUUUACAGGAAUGCUGGAGAUCCCUGGAUUCAGCCACUGCUCAAAAUCCUGCAAAGAUGAUUCUUCUUGAGCAGACUCUAGAGGCUGACAGGCAAAUUUAUUCCCACGUCUUUUAGUGGAGAACCAAUAUUAAAAUUAAAGGCACCGUCUUAGCGAGAACAGUAAAAAAAAAAAACAAACCAAAAAAAAACCAAAAAAGAAAGGAAGAAAAGAGAGAAGCAAAAAUGAGACCUCUUAGUGACAAUACUUCCAGAAAGGUGUUUUUCAAAGUAUUAUAGGAGCCUUUGUUGGUCCUUAAUCUCCCAGGUCCAAUGAUAGUUCUCUUUGUCCAGCUUUAAAAUCAUGAAGUCGGGUCCCUCAGCUGGAAAGAUUGUGCUCAGGGCAAAAUUAGUUUGUUCUGGGAGGGGUUUUUUGUUCCCAAAAUGAUGUUGCAGAAAAAGACAAAUAGGGAUCCCUUUGAUAUCUCCCCAAACUGCUCCCAGCUAAUUCCAGCAGUACAAUCCCCACAGAGCCAAUGUCCUGUCCUGGGGGGAAAGAGGAGCUGGCAAUAAAUGCUACAGGAGUUCUCAGAACUGUGAGUUUGCUGAGGUGAGCCAAUGAUUGGCACAUAGUCACGUGCACUGGGGGCUUUUCAGGGAGAAAAAGUGACAAGACAGAAAAAUAAAAGCUAUAACAAAGGUAAUAAAGCAUUCAUAGAAUGCCAGAAUGGUUUGGGUUGGAAGGGACCUUAAAGAUCAUCUCAUCCCACCCCCUGCCACGGGCAGGGACACCUUCCACUAGCCCAGGUUGCUCCAAGCCCCAUCCAACCUGACCUUGAACACUUCCAGGGGUGGGGCAACCUGUGUCAGGGCCUCCUCAUCCUCACAAGGAAGAAUUUCUUCCCAAUAUCCAAUCUAAAAGUGCUCCUUCAGUUUGAAUCCAUCCCCCUUGUCCUGUCACUACAGUUCCUGAUGAAGUUACAGGGCUGUCAGCCCCAGCUCCCUCACACAUGAACACACGUGCAGAUGAAGACACCAAGCCCUCAAAAGCACAUUUAAGGCAGUUUUGGACAGGCUCAGGAAGCACACAGAGGUAGAGGGGCUGCUGAAGAGUUUGGAAAUAGCAAAACCAGCCUAAAGCAAAUGGUCUCUAGACCAGCCCCCCGAGGGCUAAAAUUUAACUGAGUUGUUCUAGAUCUCAGUUUGGGGGAAAACAAAGAGUGGUCCCUUACACAUUGAGGUAGGAACAACAGGAGGAGAAAUGUAAUUGCUCAGAUGCUGUGGGGGGAAAAAAAAGAAAGAGAAAAAAGAAAAAAACCUGUUUGAAGUGCAUUUAUCCUUUAAUGGUUAGAUUUGCUAAAUGAGCCGAGAUCCUGGAAUGGCUGAUAAUCUCAGGAGGAUUGGCAUUGGUUUUAGUGGUGCAUUUCACAGGGGCUAAACUGGAUCUGUCUGCAAAUAUAAAACUUCAGUAAUCACAGUGCUUGGUUUCAAGCCUGCAGUAAAUAUGCUUUUGACGACCGCAGCCUCUUAGUCUGUUCAAUUCAUUUCAUUUAUUAUCUGCUGGCCUUUGACUCCCUGAGAACAAGCAGUGCACUGCAAAAGCCUCGAGACACGCUUCUCAUUUCAUCCUCCAGGUUGUAAAGCUCCCAAGAAAGGGUCAAACACAGAUUUAGGCAAGGCAAGGACUACGCUGGGCAAAAUGGUUUUGUAGAGCUGCUCUCACACAGAACUAUAAUAUCAGCCUGAAAACUGUCUCACAGGCUAUCAGAGGGCAGCUGGGAUGAAUUAGGUGAAGCAGAGAAGUGGACACAUUGUCUGGUGGAUGAAUCAAAGCAUUCAGUCACCAGAGGAGAGGGAAAAGCUGCAUCCUUUCAGAUGAGGAAGUAGAUGGAGGAAGGUUGUUCCAGACAACGAGAGCUCCUCGUGAGAUGGUUGCACACAGGCAGCUCUGACUGUGCAGCCUGAGCAAGAGGUAACUAUGGAGAUGCUUAAAAGGGGCCUGAGCCAAAAGGAAGGGAGAGUAAGGACACAAAUGUGUGAUUGUUCCCUGAGAGGCACGUUAGAAACAGGCAGCUGCAGAGCUGGAGGCACAGCAAGCAGGGCUGGAGGGAGCAGGGGGCAUGGAGAGGGGAGCUGGUGAGGAGGAGAACGCUGAGCACUGGGUUUGUGUCAUCCCUGCACCCAGGAGAAAGACAUCCCACACACCUGCCAAUAACCAGGCCCUUGGAAUAAUUGAUUUGCUCCCGAGCAGGGGAGUCAGCUUUGAAACGUUCUGUUUUCCAGCUGACACCCUAAAUUUUGGAGGUGGGUUUAGUGAACUUCAGAGCGUGGAGAACAGAAGGGCCAGAAAAAGCGACUGGAGCAGAGCUGUGAGCUGUCUAAGGAGAGCUCACAACAGAACAUGAGUCAGUCCCCAGCAGGGGAUGGGGUUGGGAACUUAAGGAGAGGGAGAAACAAUAAGGUUAAAACUGGAGCUGGCUGACAUUUUAAAAACAUGGGUUUUUUUCAACCACAACGAAUCUGUGUGGAACAUGUUUUUGUUGUUGUUGAUAUUUAACAGUCUUUGACAGGGGGGGAAAAAAAGCUCUUAUUAUUUUUUUAAAGAUAUUUCAACUUUGCUGGGGUAGGUACCUCUUUCUCUUCCUCCUCUGUUUGCUGUUUGUCACAUCCUUUAGUAGAGUUGGGGGGGGGGGGGGGGGGGGAGAAAAAAAAACACCAAAGAAACAAAUAAGCCAACCAGGAAUCCUGCCUCUCUUCUUUCAUAUCAUCGAGCAAAGCAAAAUGACAUUUUCCAUCAGUUCAGCUUGUUCAAAUUCCCUGAGCCCCAAAUUGCAUAAGACAAGAAGAGAUCUCCUGUGAAAGGAAGGGCUCAAAUCCCUGAGCUACAGCUUAUAGGUUCAGCCUCCAAAGCCAUCCCAUACAUCCAAAUAUUAAAGCCUGUUGUCAAUAGUGGCCCAGUGCCCAGCUGAAAUUACUUCCACACACGUCCAGAAGCUGCUCUACAUUUAUUUCAUGCCUUGAGGCCCUUUCACAUCACGUCUCCAUCACCAGGUAACAGCUUACAACACACAGGGACCCAGCUAAUCCAUCCCCGGGGUCUGUCCUUGGUCACCUCAGCACGAGGGUGUCUCUCUCCUCAGCCUUUGGAAGCCCAGGUUGCUGUGGCAGCCUCUGUCCAGAUGGCUCCAUUAUGUAGCACAGUUGGUAGGAUUUGUUAUGGAUAAUGUUGCCCACUCCAUCCCAGAUGUCUGAAUAAAUGCAGGCUGAAAUCGCCUCGUCAAGGAGACCUGGAUGCAAAACAUUCGGCCAAAAAAACAUUGGGAAGCCCUAUCCUGCUCUUUGGAAUUGGCUUCUGGUGACCAGGUUCUUUGCUGUUACCUUUAGCACCUAGUUAAUAUUUUACCACCCUGCCUAAAUAACCCCAAUUGAGUGGGCUGGGCACAGUUUAGCCCCCAGCAGUUCCCAAGCUCCACAAUGAACACAGCUCAGCCCCAGCACAUGGUUCUGUCUGGAUUAAUGGAUAUGGAAACAUCCACUGGGCCAGGAAAAAAAACAUGACUGAAGUGGGUGGAAUUGGUAGUAGAGCUUAUUGUGGUUAGUAAUUCGCAGCGUGGCAGCAAUAAGCAAAUGCAGGAUGGCACUCGUGGCUGGCACAGGCGGUGCUGGGAUGGCAGCACGGGGGUCUCUGAUCACCUCUCAGCUCCAUGGGAACACUCUGUGGGCAACCAGCACAUCCCCAAGGGCCACUGCAGCCCUUCCCUGCUCACACACUGCCACAUGUCUCACACAGCCCACCUCGAGGAGCCCGAAGAAUCUCGUUCCUGCGCUCCUCCCACUCCACCCAGCAGCGGUGGCCGGCAAAGUCUGACUCACAACGAGCCUCUGUAGUUUGAAGGUCGUGAAUAUCCCAUCAAACAGUAACUGCUGGUGACUUCUACAUCACAUCAGGCUUUAAACCAGCACGAGGCAGGUGCUCUCCAGGCACCAGCCCUCCUCUUUCAUCUCCCUAUUACACCCUAUUUAGUCAAACUCUGACACCACGGCAGCAUCGCCCUUCUAUACUUCCCUCUGUGACUCCUUUAUUCAUGCCUAAAACUGGGAUAAAUCCACUUCCUUCCCUAGCUCAGUGGAUUCUUGCAGAGGCCAUAAAGUGAAACCAUCUUAUGGCCGUAACAAUCACACCCAGGGUUUUUAAUUUGCCCAUCAGAGCUUUCUGUGCUCGCAGCUCUCGCUCUCUCACCACCCAAGGCAGCAGAAAUGACAGCGUGAGCUUCCCUGACCGGCCACGGAGAGCAGGAAACGCUGUCAGAGGAUGGUUAACGAGCAGGCAGGGGGAUCCAGAGCGUGCAUAAAACUCACACAGAUAACAAACACUCUCAAAAAAAGUAUCUACGUGGGGAAGUCACAGCCUGCCCGCGAGCACCGCGCGGGAAGGGGAGGCAGCUCAGUCCACAAAUUGCUCCGUAGGAAACGGUCCCUCGUUUCUCCUCUGCCUGGGAACGGCAGAACCCGUGUUCACGAUGCAAAGCGCUGCUGCCCGAGGUAAUUCCAGCCGCCUGUUCCCGGUGGAAGCGCAGCCGUUCAGCCCGAGCGAUGCCAGGCGACAAAGAGCGAUGCCAGGCGACAAAGAGCGAUGCCGGGCGCUGUCCGCGGCUCGUCCCUGUCACACGCGGACGAGCAUCAGCCCCGUCAGCGGCUGAGUCGGGACAAUUAGGAGCCGUUCCAGCAGGGCAGUGAUGCUGGGACGCCCAGAGCAGGGCCAGAGCAACGUGUAGCCAUGACGACUCCGCAGCUCUUGUGACGAGCCGGGAGCGCUCCAGCGGCCGGGACGGAGCCAGGCGAGGCUUCUCCCGCCGCAUCUGCCAGCCCGGCACGGGGCCAGCGUGUUGUGGCUGUCAGCGCAAGGACGGCAGCCCAGACACGCGUUUUCCCCGAAGCCUUCGCUCGAACACGACCACGGGAAGGGUUUGAGAUGGAUUUUCCCACACACACAUUGCGAGAGGUUUGUCCCCAGACACGCCGAGAGCAAGAGGGACAAGCGGGAGCAGCUUCUGUAAGAAAGGAAUUGCACCGUGACUUUGUCGGCGUGUGAUGAGUUCUGAGUGAUUUUGUUUGCCAGCAAGAGACACUUUUCUCGAUUAAUUCUCAAUUAAUGCUGAAAACUGGCAGCACAGAGAAGAGGGAUGGAGCACAGAACCCCCUUGACUCCUCUCAGUGGGUACCUGCCCCACUGACACACACUGACACCAAGUGCUGGAGCAUGUCCAGCAGGGGAUGGAGCUGGAGAAGGGGCUGGAGCAGCAGGAGCAGCUGAGGGAGCUGGGAGAGCUCAGCCUGGAGAAAAAGAGGCUCAGGGGGGACCUUCUGGCUCUGCAACUCCCUGACACGAGGGUGAAUCCAAGGAGGUCGGGCUCUGCUCCCAGGGAACAAGGGACAGGAGGAGAGGGAACGGCCUCAAGCUGUGUCAGGUUGGACAUCAGGAGAAAUUUCUGCCUGGAAAGGGUGGUCAGGCCUUGGAAGGGGCUGCCCAGGGAGGUAUUGGAGUCCCCAUCCCUGGAGGUGUCCAAGGAAGGACUGGCCGUGGCCCUCAGUGCUCUGGGCUGGGGGACAAGGAGGGGAUGGUCACAGGUUGAACUCCAAGGAUGACUUUGGAGAUCUUUCCCAACCUAAAGGAUUCUGUAACUGCCAGGGAGCAGGACAACAGCCCCACCAACAUCUCUUCCCCUGGGGCUUCAUUCCACGGAGGGAGAACAAAGAACACAAAUUUUACAGACUUGCUUAUUUUUUCUCCCAUUUCAAGGCUUUUUGGUCACUGCCCCCAUCCCACCCCCCCAGGUUUUCACCACCUCCUUGGGCAGGUGUGAGCAGCCCUAUGUGAGCAGUUCCCUUCCUCUUCUGCAGCUAACACAGGCCUCCACAUAAUUAAUUAGGUUCAUCUAUCAGGCCCAGUGAGUUGGCAUGUGACACCAGAUCAAAUUCUCUUAAUUUCUCCAUCCCCUGAAUACUUUAUAGCCAUUAAUUAGGGGUGUGAGCUGUGUGAAAGAUGUUACAAGAGCAAGAUCUGGAAACAUAGAUUAAAAAAAAGACAGACAGAUAAAUCACAGGCAGACAGAUGCUCAUCACACUCAGCUUCCAGUGAAACACAGAACCUUAUUUUAGAUUAAUAGAGAGCAGCAACAUCUCUAUUAAUGAGGCAGAAAAACAUCAGGGUCUUCUCUUGAUACUUUUAUUAAGUAAUACAUUUCUAGACAAAUUCUGACCCUGAUUUAAACCCCAUAACAACUCUAUCUGUACCAGAUUAUUCCCAUUGCAACUGGGCACCUCUUUAACCACCAUUCCUCAGAGCAAUUUUGACCCAAGCUCUAAAAUCUCUUAUAGCACUAAAAAUAUUUUUAAAAAAGCCCAUGUAGGGAUUUCUUUUAUCAUUAUUUCAGGAAGGGGAAAAGAAGGGAAGAGAGGUGGCUUUGUCAGUCAGCUGGACUGGUAGCGUGGGAACUUCAGCACAGAGGAAGCUUUGAAUUCCAGCCAAGAUGCAGCAACUGUGUAAAACAUAAUUCCAUCAAGGAAAAACUGUCCCUGAGGUUGAACAUCAUGUUCUUGGGUGUUGGAAAAGAUUAAACGAUAAAGUUCAUUUGAAA